rnacentral:lncRNA from 1 species
ACAACACUCAGGUCUAGCCCUGCAAGAGCUUUUGGCAAAGUUGGAAUGAUAAGGAUGAAGUAGUUCUAAUGAGUUCAAUUUUCUCGUCUCUUCUUGAUGUGGUGAGAUGGGAGGCUGUCGUAAGGACAAGUCCUAUCACAUCUGGAGUAUUGUGCUCAAUUCUGGGCAUCUCACUGAAGAAAGGACAUUGAAAAGCUGAGGGGGAGAGUGACCAGAAUGAAAAGAGCACAGAAACCAUGUCACAUGAGGAUCAUUUGAAAGAAUGGGAAUUUUUACCCUGGAAGAGAGAAGAU